CCCCGCAACACCUUCGCACAACUUGCACACUUGUCGGAGACCCACCGGAGUAACCCGCAAGUCACCGGAGAAUCCUGCAACUUGCCGAAGCUACGAGUCGCCGCCGGAGUUACGAAACAUCGUCGGAACGACACACAUCACCCACCUUUCCGUUUCACCACUACAAAACAUCCGCACGUUGCCGGGAUCCAUUAAACACGCCGCCGGAGUUCGAAGUUUCGUCGGAGAAGCCCGAAGCCGAAGGUGAUCACGCCACGCGUGUUCCGGAUAAACGCUUUUGUUCGUUCUCUUUGGAUUUUCUCCAUCUCCACUCGUACGUUACUUACAAGAAAACGCAACGCAAUCAAUGAUGAGGAAUCAAGAUUUGAAGAAAUGAAUAGGAUGGCCUAGAAACCCACUUUUGAAAUAAGCUAUGUUUGAUGUUUGUUAUUUCUUUUUCUAUGACAACGUAUGAAAC